rnacentral:rRNA from 1 species
AGGACGAACGCUGGCGGCGUGCUUAACACAUGCAAGUCGAGCGGUAAGGCUCCUUCGGGAGUACACGAGCGGCGAACGGGUGAGUAACACGUGAGCAAUCUGCCCUUCUCUUCGGAAUAACCAUUGGAAACGAUGGCUAAUGCCGAAUACGACCUCCUUUCGCAUGAUCGGAGGUGGAAAGCUCCGGCGGAGAAGGAUGAGCUCGCGGCCUAUCAGCUAGUUGGCGGGGUAACCGGCCCACCAAGGCGACGG